rnacentral:lncRNA from 1 species
ACUCUCUUAUAGAGUAGAUAUGAGUAGACUUAAGAACACUCAAGAACACAACAAUUUCUUCAAGAUUUUGGCUCUCAAAAGCUAUGAAAUAUGAAUGAAUUGAAUGCAAUGAAAGUAUAAUAGAGUGUUGAAGAAUUGUUAUAGAAAUGAGAGGUUUUGGGGUCUAUUUAUAGCCCUCAAGGAUCAAGUGACCGUUGCUCAAUAGUU